rnacentral:rRNA from 1 species
GGACGAACGGCUGGCGGCGUGCCUAAUACAUGCAAGUCGAACGAACUCUGGUAUUGAUUGGUGCUUGCAUCAUGAUUUACAUUUGAGUGAGUGGCGAACUGGUGAGUAACACGUGGGAAACCUGCCCAGAAGCGGGGGAUAACACCUGGAAACAGAUGCUAAUACCGCAUAACAACUUGGACCGCAUGGUCCGAGCUUGAAAGAUGGCUUCGGCUAUCACUUUUGGAUGGUCCCGCGGCGUAUUAGCUAGAUGGUGGGGUAACGGCUCACCAUGGCAAUGAUACGUAGCCGACCUGAGAGGGUAAUCGGCCACAUUGGGACUGAGACACGGCCCAAACUCCUACGGGAGGCAGCAGUAGGGAAUCUUCCACAAUGGACGAAAGUCUGAUGGAGCAACGCCGCGUGAGUGAAGAAGGGUUUCGGCUCGUAAAACUCUGUUGUUAAAGAAGAACAUAUCUGAGAGUAACUGUUCAGGUAUUGACGGUAUUUAACCAGAAAGCCACGGCUAACUACGUGCCAGCAGCCGCGGUAAUACGUAGGUGGCAAGCGUUGUCCGGAUUUAUUGGGCGUAAAGCGAGCGCAGGCGGUUUUUAAGUCUGAUGUGAAAGCCUUCGGCUCAACCGAGAAGUGCAUCGGAAACUGGGAAACUUGAGUGCAGAAGAGGACAGUGGAACUCCAUGUGUAGCGGUGAAAUGCGUAGAUAUAUGGAAGAACACCAGUGGCGAAGGCGGCUGUCUGGUCUGUAACUGACGCUGAGGCUCGAAAGUAUGGGUAGCAAACAGGAUU